rnacentral:snRNA from 1 species
UAUGUCAUCGAUUGAUAUUGUUUGAUAAAUUUGGAACGAUAAAGAAAAGAUUAGCAUGGCUCUGCGCAAGGAUGACAAGCACAAAUCAGAAAACAUAACAUAGAUAUAACAUUUUUUU